GCGUCUGUAGCUCAACUGGAUAGAGCGACGGACUUCGGAUCCGUAGGCUAGGGGUUCGAUUCCUCUCAGGCGUG
rnacentral:tRNA from 1 species